rnacentral:rRNA from 1 species
CCGGCGACCGGCGCACGGGUGAGUAACACGUAUGCAACCUGCCCUCCGCAGGGGGAUAACCCGGAGAAAUCCGGACUAAUACCGCGUGGUACAUCUGUGGGGCAUCCCACGGGUGUUAAAAGGAAGCGAUUCCGGCGGAGGAUGGGCAUGCGGCGCAUUGGCUAGUUGGCGGGGUAACGGCCCACCAAGGCGACGAUGCGUAGGGGUUCUGAGAGGAAGGUCCCCCACACUGGUACUGAGACACGGACCAGACUCCUACGGGAGGCAGCAG